CGAACGCUGGCGGCGCGUUUAAGCAUGCAAGUCGAGCGGCAAGGGCCUUCGGGCCCCUAGAGCGGCGGACGGGUGAGUAACACGUGGACAAUCUGCCCCCCGGCCCGGGAUAGCCCAGGGAAACCUGGAUUAAUACCGGAUGAGACGGGACCCGCGAUGGCGGGAUCCGGGAAAGGCGCUGCGGCGCCGCCGGGGGAUGAGUCUGCGUCCCAUUAGCUAGACGGCGGGUAACGGCCCACCGUGGCGACGAUGGGUAGCCGGCCUGAGAGGGUGGACGGCCACAUUGGAACUGAGACACGGUCCAGACUCCUACGGGAGGCAGCAGCUAAGAAUCUUCCGCAAUGGGCGAAAGCCUGACGGAGCCGACGCCGCGUGAACGAAGAAGGCCGUGAGGUUGUAAAGUUCUUUUCGGGAGGGGAACAACCGUGGCAGGGAAUGGCCGCGGGAUGACGUGAAUCCCGGAAUAAGCCCCGGCUAACUACGUGCCAGCCGCCGC
rnacentral:rRNA from 1 species